GACGAACCGUGCGAACGUUGUUCGGAAUCACUGGGCUUAAAGGGCGCGUAGGCGGGCUUCUCAGUCUGUGGUGAAAUCCUCCAGCUUAACUGGAGAAGUGCCGUGGAUACUGGGAGUCUCGAGGAGGGUAGGGGCAUCUGGAACAGCCGGUGGAGCGGUGAAAUGCGUUGAUAUCGGCUGGAACUCCGGUGGCGAAGGCGAGGUGCUGGACCCUUUCUGACGCUGAGGCGCGAAAGCCAGGGGAGCGAACGGG
rnacentral:rRNA from 1 species